rnacentral:rRNA from 1 species
UGGGGAAUUUUCCGCAAUGGGCGAAAGCCUGACGGAGCAAUACCGCGUGAGGGAGGAAGGCUCUUGGGUCGUAAACCUCUUUUCUCAAGGAAGAUAAUGACGGUACUUGAGGAAUCAGCAUCGGCUAACUCCGUGCCAGCAGCCGCGGUAAUACGGAGGAUGCAAGCGUUAUCCGGAAUGAUUGGGCGUAAAGCGUCCGUAGGUGGUUUGAUAAGUCUGCGGUUAAAGAGUGUAGCUUAACUACAUAAAGGCCGUGGAAACUGCCAGACUAGAGGCAAGUAGGGGUAAAGGGAAUUCCCAGUGUAGCGGUGAAAUGCGUAGAGAUUGGGAAGAACACCGGUGGCGAAAGCGCUUUACUGGACUUGAACUGACACUGAGGGACGAAAGCUAGGGGAGCGAA